GGAAGAGCAAGACCUUCCCCAGCCAUCAACCAGCAGCACAGACAUGCUUGGGAACAGGGAAAUUUAUAUCCCAGCCUCUUCUCUGGCCUUUUUCAAUUCCACCCAUGAGAGAGAUGAGUUCAAGACGGUGUGAAAACCAUCUGGAGACUCACUGAAUAGUUGUGUGGUCCCACUCUGAGCAGCAGAGACAUAGCACAGCCUCCCCUGCUCCAGUCCUGCCAGGGAUAACAAACCCUGGAGCCACGGGCUCUGGGCACCUGAGCCUGAAGUGGAAAAUCCCUCUCGAGGGUGCACAAAGCACAUUUUGGCAAGGCUGACCCACAGCACUGCUGGAUUCCAGCACAGCCACGACCCCAACCAUGGAAACCUCCCUUUGGAACAACCUUUGGGAAGCGUUUCUGAACGCUCCAGUGCUGAAGGGGACACAGCUCUGGUUUAAAAAGCUCCCUCAGCCAGCAUUGCUGCAAAAAGCCACUCUAUGGCCCAAAAGGAACCACAUGUGAGGGCCCCAGGCUGAAUGGUGCUGAAGCCACAAGCCUUUUCUCGAGGACAAAGCACAGGAUUGAAGGCAGCAGUGCCCUGGUCCAGGAUGGGAGUGGGUGGGAAGGGGUUUCCAGGGAGAAAACCUCGGGGGGCUCUGGCACUGAUAGCCUUCUACAAAGGCCUUCAGCACAUUUCUUGAAGAAACAGCUGGAAAUGUUCCAGCAGCAAAUGUAUCUGACUCCAAAAAAUAUCUUGCUUACAUUAGAAGUGUCUGGAUGGUGAAUAAUGUAGAGAGGAGAAAGUGUUGUGGAGCAAUUAAUACACUCUGGUGGCAAGGAGAAGAAAAUAGACGGUCACAGGCAAAGUCCAUAAAUAAUAAGUGUUAUUUGGGAAAGGUUGGGCACUUCUGCAGCUGGCUGGACAGAGCACAGCAGCUCUCUCUCUCUCUCUCUCUUGGGAAAUAACUGCUCCCCAAUUUUGCUGUUCAAAUCCUGACUCCUCUCCAAUCUCACCCCCCAUGUGCUGUGCCUGCCCUGCUCCCAGAGGCAGAGGAGCUGCUGCCUGGCCCUCCAUCUCUGGCAGAACACCUCAGGGGGAGAAGGCCAAAGCACUUCACAUCCAUCAGUUUGGAUGGUUCAAAAGAAAAGCCAUUUGUUUCUAGGCAAUCUGUUUACACACACACACUGCUGGCUUUCCAGCUCCUGUUCCUAGGACUUGGCUGACAGUGGAGAAGUCAAGAACAAACACACACCAAUCCCCAAGUGCUCCUGGCUGUGCCAUUUUGCCAGAAGACGUUCCUGGCCCAGAAGCAGCUGCACAAAAAGCACUGAUGGGAGAAUUACAGCUAAAAUACAUCUCUUUGUCUCAGCAGCAGAUGCCCUUAUGGGAUCUUUGCCUGCCCAAAGCCACCUGCACUGCCCCUGCCUCCUGACAGGGAAUGACAGGAAUUGUGCAAGCCAUCCCUGAUGGAAACCCUCUGCCCAUGCUCUCCCUUCCUGCAGGGGUGUAAAAGCAGCCCAGGAGCCAAGGGUACCACAGCAGCCAGGAUCAGCAGGAAAAAGAGGAAUUUAACAAUCAGUCCUGAAAAGGUCAGCUCCUGAGUCACAGCAGUGAAGGAUAUGGGGGAGUUCUUUUGAAGUACAUCUUUUUCCUCUCUCUUUUAUUACACAGAACACAUUAGUCUCGCUCGUGAUCAGUCAGUCUUUCAGGCACUAUCACCAGACACAAAGCCAGUUUUACUCAGAACUUUCUUCUUGCUCCUGCAGCUCCACCACUGCUACCCUGGAUUCCCCUUAGAACUGGAGGUUUCUUCUCGAUCUCAAAAAGAGAUUGAUAUAUCAAAACCAAAUUCAAUUACAAAAUAUAAUAAUAUCGUCUUCUUGGAAGUGAAGCUGCCCCAUAUUCCAGACUGUGGCAGGAUUUUUAUAACCUUAAACCAUUUUUACUAAGUUCUACUUAAAACAC
rnacentral:lncRNA from 1 species